rnacentral:rRNA from 1 species
GACGAACGCUGGCGGCGUGCUUAACACAUGCAAGUCGAACGAAGAGCGAUGGAAGCUUGCUUCUAUCAAUCUUAGUGGCGAACGGGUGAGUAACGCGUAAUCAACCUGCCCUUCAGAGGGGGACAACAGUUGGAAACGACUGCUAAUACCGCAUACGAUCUAAUCUCGGCAUCGAGGAAAUAUGAAAGGUGGCCUCUAUUUAUAAGCUAUCACUGAAGGAGGGGAUUGCGUCUGAUUAGCUAGUUGGAGGGGUAACGGCCCACCAAGGCGAUGAUCAGUAGCAGGUCUGAGAGGAUGAACGGCCACAUUGGGACUGAGACACGGCCAAGACUACUACGGGAGGCAGCAGUGGCGAAUCUUCCGCAAUGGACGAAAGUCUGACGGAGCAACGCCGCGUGAGUGAUGACGGCCUUCGGGUUGUAAAGCUCUGUUAGUCGGGACGAAAGGCCUUCUUGCGAACAGUUAGAAGGAUUGACGGUACCGGAAUAGAAAGCCACGGCUAACUACGUG